UACAGAGGUCCCAAGCGUUGUUCGGAAUUACUGGGCGUAAAGGGCGCGUAGGCGGCCUUCUAAGUCGAACGUGAAAUCCCCGGGCUCAACCCGGGAACUGCGUCCGAUACUGGAAGGCUUGAAUCCGGGAGAGGGAUGUGGAAUUCCAGGUGUAGCGGUGAAAUGCGUAGAUAUCUGGAGGAACAUCAGUGGCGAAGGCGACACCCUGGACUCAUACUGACACUGAGGUGCGAAAGCGUGGGGAGCAAACAGG
rnacentral:rRNA from 1 species